rfam:TPA: Bos taurus chromosome 4, whole genome shotgun sequence.
UAUAAUAAUGAAGAAACAAUGAUAGACAGCUUGAUUUAGAUUCAAAUGGUAUUGAAAUUUUUAAAGAAUCAAGGCUAGUUGUCCUCCCCACUGGGUGUGCCCUCAGGGCCACGGUUGCAAGGCAUCUGCCUCCUUGGCUCCUAGCAGCCAGCUUAGAACUGGUGCGGAUGAGGGGAAUCUGACUAUUUAAAACAAAGCAUCAGGAAGGCCCAUACCCGGUGUUGACCUGAUGCGAUUUCUGCUCAGUGCUCUGAAUGUCAUAGUAAAGAAAUUCAAUGAAGGGCAGGUAAGUGGUGGGAGUAACGAUGACUCUCUUAAGAGAACUAAAGCUUCAUCAUAUAAUUACUGAUGCACAUGAAUGGAUGAACCGAUUCCCAUUGUCCCUACCUACUAUCCAUGAAACCACAGCCAAGGGAACAGGCCUGG